UACGGGGGGGGCAAGCGUUGUUCGGAAUCAUUGGGCGUAAAGGGCGCGUAGGUGGUUCUGUAUGUCUACCGUGAAAGCGUACGGCUCAACCGUAUUUUGUCGGUAGAAACUGCAGGACUUGAGGCUGGGAGGGGCUGGUGGAAUUCCCUGUGUAGCGGUGAAAUGCGUAGAGAUGGGGGAGAACACUCGUGGCGAAGGCGGCCAGCUAGACCAGUUCUGACACUGAGGCGCGACAGCGUGGGGAGCAAACAGG
rnacentral:rRNA from 1 species